rnacentral:rRNA from 1 species
UACGUAGGGUGCGAACGUUGUCCGGAAUUAUUGGGCGUAAAGGGCUCGUAGGCGGUCUGUCACGUCGAAAGUGAAAACUCAGGGCUUAACCCUGAGCCUGCUUCCGAUACGGGCAGACUAGAGGUAUGCAGGGGAGAAUGGAAUUCCUGGUGUAGCGGUGAAAUGCGCAGAUAUCAGGAGGAACACCAGUGGCGAAGGCGGUUCUCUGGGCAUUACCUGACGCUGAGGAGCGAAAGUGUGGGGAGCGAACAGG